rnacentral:rRNA from 1 species
AUUGAACGCUGGCGGCAUGCUUUACACAUGCAAGUCGAACGGUAACAGGCCGCAAGGUGCUGACGAGUGGCGAACGGGUGAGUAAUGCAUCGGAACGUGCCCGGUCGUGGGGGAUAACGCAGCGAAAGCUGCGCUAAUACCGCAUACGAACUCUGGACGAAAGCGGGGGACCGAAAGGCCUCGCGCGAGUGGAGCGGCCGAUGUCAGACUAGGUAGUGGGUGGGGUAAAAGCUCACCAAGCCAACGAUCUGUAGCUGGUCUGAGAGGACGACCAGCCACACUGUGACUGAGACACGGCCCAGACUCCUACGGGAGGCAGCAGUGGGGAAUUUUGGACAAUGGGCGCAAGCCUGAUCAAGCAAUGCCGCGUGCAGGAAGAAGGCCUUCGGGUUGUAAACUGCUUUUGUACGGAACGAAACGGUCCUGGUUAAUACCUGGGGCUAAUGACGGUACCGUAAGAAUAAGCACCGGCUAACUACGUGCCAGCCGCCGCCGUAA